rnacentral:rRNA from 1 species
UCAUGGACGAGAGUCUGAACCAGCCAAGUAGCGUGAAGGAUGACUGCCCUAUGGGUUGUAAACUUCUUUUAUACGGGAAUAAAGUGAGGCACGUGUGCCUUUUUGUAUGUACCGUAUGAAUAAGGAUCGGCUAACUCCGUGCCAGCAGCCGCGGUAAUACGGAGGAUCCGAGCGUUAUCCGGAUUUAUUGGGUUUAAAGGGUGCGUAGGCGGUUUGAUAAGUUAGAGGUGAAAUCCCGGGGCUUAACUCCGGAACUGCCUCUAAUACUGUUAGACUAGAGAGUAGUUGCGGUAGGCGGAAUGUAUGGUGUAGCGGUGAAAUGCUUAGAGAUCAUACAGAACACCGAUUGCGAAGGCAGCUUACCAAACUAUAUCUGACGUUGAGGCACGAAAGCGUGGGGAGCAAACAGGAUUAGAUACCCUGGUAGUCCAAGGGCGAAUUC